AUUAUAACUUCUACACCUAAUUUUAUUCUUAAUCCAACAUCGAGGUCGCAAUCUAUUUUAUCAAUAUGAACUCUCCAAAAUAAUUACGCUGUUAUCCCUAAAGUAACUUAUUUUUUAUUCAUUAUUAAUUAAUCAAAAUCAUAAAUCAAUGAAAUCAAUAAUAAAAGUUUAUAAAAUUUUAUUAUCUCCCCAAUAAAAUAUAAAAUUUUAAUAUAUUUAAAAAUUCUUAAUAAUUCAUAUUAAAACAUUAUAUAAAGAUUUAUAGGGUCUUCUCGUCUUUUAAUUAUAUUUUAGCUUUUUUACUAAAAAAUAAAAUUCAAUUAUAUUUCUAUUAAAACAGUUUAUAUUUCAC
rnacentral:rRNA from 1 species